rnacentral:rRNA from 1 species
ACUGCUCAGUAACACGUAGUCAACAUGCCCAGAGGACGUGGAUAACCUCGGGAAACUGAGGAUAAACCGCGAUAGGUCAUAAUAUCUGGAAUGAUUUAUGGUUUAAAUCUAUAUGGCCUCUGGAUUGGACUGCGGCCGAUCAGGCUGUUGGUGAGGUAAUGGCCCACCAAACCUGAAACCGGUACGGGCUCUGAGAGGAGAAGCCCGGAGAUGGGCACUGAGACAAGGGCCCAGGCCCUAUGGGGCGCAGCAGGCGCGAAAACUCUGCAAUAAGCGAAAGCUUGACAGGGUUAUUCUGAGUGAUUUCCGCUAAGGAAAUCUUUUGGCACCUCUAAAAAUGGUGCAGAAUAAGGGGUGGGCAAGCCUGGUGUCAGCCGCCGCGGUAAUACCAGCACCCCGAGUGGUCGGGACGAUUAUUGGGCCUAAAGCAUCCGUAGCCGGUUCUACAAGUCUUCCGUUAAAUCCACCUGCUUAACAGAUGGGCUGCGGAGGAUACUAUAGAGCUAGGAGGCGGGAGAGGCAAGCGGUACUUAGUGGGUAGGGGUAAAAUCCGUUGAUCCAUUGAAGACCACCAGUGGCGAAGGCGGCUUGCCAGAACGCACUCGACGGUGAGGGAUGAAAGCUGGGGGAGCAAACCAGAUUAGAUACCCGGGUAGUCCCAGCUGUAAACGAUGCAGACUCGGUGAUGAAUAGGCUUCGUGCCUAUUCAGUGCCGCAGGGAAGCCGUUAAGUCUGCCGCCUGGGGAGUACGGUCGCAAGACUGAAACUUAAAGGAAUUGGCGGGGAGCAC